rnacentral:lncRNA from 1 species
CAACUUAGGAUCCACUUAUGAUGGUUUGACUUCAUGAUGGGGCAAAAGUGAUACACAUUUAGUAGAAAUUAUACUUUAAAUUUUGAAUUUUGAUCUCUUCCCAGGCUAGUGAUACAUGGUACCAUAUUCUCUUGCAAUGCCAGGCGGGGACAGAGCCACAGCAACCAGUCAGCCCUGCAAUCAUGAGCGUGAACCAUUGAGCCUCUAGCUUGCAGUGUUGCCAGAUGACCUUGCCCAACCAUAGGCUAAGGGAAGUGAUCUGAGCACGUGUAAGAAGAUGGAGGAAAAUCAAUCCUAGUUUCAGCGAGGUUUUGCAGUGCAUGUGCAGGCUACGUUAAUGUCACCCAGGAGCUUGAUUGACAGAUGCUCAAAUGCCCAGCCCUAUCCCUGCCCCAUCUACUGAGGAACCCAAGCACCUGAAGUUCCACAAAUGCUGCAGUGACUUAUGCAUGUGUCACGUGAA